UGCGUUUUUCGCCCAGGCGGGGCUCGGCCGCCACUUCGAGCCGUAAGGACAUUUAUCGACCAGUAUCGCCAUGCCUACGGUGUCGAGCCGAUCUGCAAGCUGAUGCAGAUCGCACCG
rfam:Massilia sp. KIM NODE_1_length_3374390_cov_141.183_ID_1041, whole genome shotgun sequence.